rnacentral:rRNA from 1 species
GAUGAACGCUGGCGGCGUGCCUAAUACAUGCAAGUCGAGCGAACAGACGAGGAGCUUGCUCCUCUGACGUUAGCGGCGGACGGGUGAGUAACACGUGGAUAACCUACCUAUAAGACUGGGAUAACUUCGGGAAACCGGAGCUAAUACCGGAUAAUAUAUUGAACCGCAUGGUUCAAUAGUGAAAGACGGUUUUGCUGUCACUUAUAGAUGGAUCCGCGCCGCAUUAGCUAGUUGGUAAGGUAACGGCUUACGAAGGCAACGAUGCGUAGCCGACCUCAGAGAGUGAUCGGCCACACUGGAACUGAGCCACGGUCCAGACUCCUACGGGAGGCAGCAGUAGGGAAUCUUCCGCAAUGGGCGAAAGCCUGACGGAGCAACGCCGCGUGAGUGAUGAAGGUCUUCGGAUCGUAAAGCUCUGUUAUUAGUGAAGAACAAAUGUGUAAGUAACUAUGCACGUCUUGACGGUACCUAAUCAGAAAGCCACGGCUAACUACGUG